AUCCGUGCCAUGCCUCCCCGAGAAGUACAGGACACGCGGGCCCAGGGACAGCAUGGGAGACCGAGGUUUAGGAUGAGGCCCUGCAGGAGCCCACCGUGGAGGAUGGUCUUAGCGUUGAGGGUAUUCGCUGGGUGUGAACAAUCUGGAAAUGAUUCAUCUACUUGUUUUCUGGCAAACCAACACAUUCCUAUUUCCAGGCACACGGUGACAAGGACAUACUGCGACGUGUGGCCUGUGUGGCUCAAGCGGGCCCUGG